GAUGAACGCUGGCGGCGUGCCUAAUACAUGCAAGUCGAGCGAACAGACGAGGAGCUUGCUCCUCUGACGUUAGCGGCGGACGGGUGAGUAACACGUGGAUAACCUACCUAUAAGACUGGGAUAACUUCGGGAAACCGGAGCUAAUACCGGAUAAUAUAUUGAACCGCAUGGUUCAAUAGUGAAAGACGGUUUUGCUGUCACUUAUAGAUGGAUCCGCGCCGCAUUAGCUAGUUGGUAAGGUAACGGCUUACCAAGGCAACGAUGCGUAGCCGACCUGAGAGGGGGAUCGGCCACACUGGAACUGAGACACGGUCCAGACUCCUACGGGAGGCAGCAGUAGGGAAUCUUCCGCAAUGGGCGAAAGCCUGACGGAGCAACGCCGCGUGAGUGAGGAAGGUCUUCGGAUCGUAAAACUCUGUUAUUAGGGAAGAACAAAUGUGUAAGUAACUAUGCACGUCUGGACGGUACCUAAUCAGAAAGCCACGGCUAACUACGU
rnacentral:rRNA from 1 species